rnacentral:rRNA from 1 species
GAUGAACGCUGGCGGUAUGCCUAACACAUGCAAGUCGUACGAGAGUUUUUAACUCUAGUGGCGGACGGGUGAGUAACACGUGAGAAUUUGCCUUUAGGAGGGGGAUAACAAUUGGAAACGAAUGCUAAUACCCCAUAUGCUUUUGAGUGAAACGGAUUUAUCCGCCUAGAGAGAAGCUCGCGGCUGAUUAGCUUGUUGGUAAGGUAAGAGCUUACCAAGGCGACGAUCAGUAUCUGGUUUGAGAGGACGAUCAGACACACUGGAACUGAGACACGGUCCAGACUCCUACGGGAGGCAGCAGUGGGGAAUUUUCCGCAAUGGGCGAAAGCCUGACGGAGCAAUCUCGCGUGGGGGAUGACGGCCUAUGGGUUGUAAACCUCUUUUUUCAGGGAGGAACAAAAUGACGUGUACCUGAAGAAUAAGCAUCGGCUAACUCCGUG